rnacentral:lncRNA from 1 species
CAUGCAAAUUCAUCAAGUGUCUGCAAUUCACAUAGCAUACUUGAAAACAAGAACAAUUUGACUCAUCUUAAUAUAGAGGCAUACAAAACAGACAAAAUCACAAUCAUAUUAAAUUAGCUUAUCUAAAAAUACUACUUAAGAUGUCAAAAGAAAUACUAGAUUCCUUAUUGAAAGCUCGAUUUUUCUCCCUCACCAUUCUCCUUUCUUUCUCUUUUUCUCUUACUAGGGUUUUAACUGCCUUGAACCAUAGGCUACCGCUCUACCAUGUUACAUAAACACAUAUCUCAAACCAAGGUGCGAUGUAUCAUAGUAAACUUGAAAUCCACCGGUAUUGUCAGGAGCAACUACCACCACAGUAGAGAUCAAAGGGGGCUUGAGUUCAAAGGAAACAUUCUUCACACUUUGGGUUCCAAAGAAACUUAGCACCU